AGGCAGCAAGAAUGCCUGCAGCGGCACCCGACACCAUCUUCUCUGCCCCUCAGGAGCACAGCUGGCCUGGAAUCUAGGAACUGCAAAUUGAAGAGAUUACUGUGUUGAAGGAGCUGGGAAGUGGCCAGUUUGGAGAAGUCCAUCUGGGCAGGUGGAAGGGACAGUAUGAUGUUCUGUUAAGGUGAUCAGGGAGUGCUCCAUGUCAGAAGAUAAAUUCUUCCAGGAGGCCCAGACCUUCAGGACACUGGGCUGCACUCUAAGAAGUUCCCUGCUGUUCCCUGGAUCCUGACCAUCAUGUGGCUGGAAAAAUUGCAGAGACCAGACCUGCCCCUCGUCUCCCAGCCCUGCGUCUGGUGUGUUUUCUCAACACCCCAGUGGAACAAGAAAGGAACAAGAACACCAGAACCAAGGUAGUGUGUUCAACAUUAUCAUGACAGCUGUGAAAACAGUUAAUUUCACACAGAACCAAAUGGAAGAGAGGAGGACUUC
rnacentral:lncRNA from 1 species